rnacentral:rRNA from 1 species
CCCAGACUCCUACGGGAGGCAGCAGUGGGGAAUAUUGCACAAUGGGGGAAACCCUGAUGCAGCGACGCCGCGUGAGCGAUGAAGUAUUUCGGUAUGUAAAGCUCUAUCAGCAGGGAAGAAAAUGACGGUACCUGACUAAGAAGCCCCGGCUAACUACGUGCCAGCAGCCGCGGUAAUACGUAGGGGGCAAGCGUUAUCCGGAAUUACUGGGUGUAAAGGGAGCGUAGACGGCGAGGUAAGCCUGAAGUGGAAGCCCGCGGCCCAACCGCGGAACUGCUUUGGGAACUGUUUUGCUGGAGUAUGGGAGGGGUAAGCGGAAUUCCUGGUGUAGCGGUGAAAUGCGUAGAUAUCAGGAGGAACAUCGGUGGCGUAAGCGCUUUACUGGGCCGUAAUUGACACUGAGGAACGAAAGCCAGGGUAGCAAAUGGGAUUAGAUACCCCAGUA